rnacentral:rRNA from 1 species
GUCCUGGCCCUAAACGAUGAAUACUUGGUGUCUGGAGUAAUUUGUGCUCCGGGUGCCGUCGCUAACGUUUUUAGUAUUCCGCCUGGGGAGUACGCUCGCAAGAGUGAAACUCAAAGGAAUUGACGGGGACCCCGCACAAGCGGUGGAGCAUGUGGUUUAAUUCGACGCAACGCGAAGAACCUUACCUAGGCUAGAAUGUGAGGGAAGAGAGGGUAACUCCGAUCGUCCGGGAAACCGGACCCAAACAAGGUGCUGCAUGGCUGUCGU